AAUUUAUUUAAUACUUUAAACAAUGAGGUUGUUUCCAGUGUUUUAUUACAGACACUGUCCUAUGAUUACCGUAAAUUCUUUAUAAGUAGAAUUUCUGGGUCAGCAUAUGUAUAGUAUGUAUACAGUUUCAAUUUGGAUGGUUAUGCCAAAUUACCUUCCAAAAAGACCACCUUUGGUUUCCACUCUCACCAGCAAUAUCUGAGCACCUGUCUCCCACAGCACUCAAGCAUCAAGCAGUCGUGCAUCAAGCAUCCAGCAGGCCCGAUCCCCGCAGGCCACCUACAGGGAAAGGCCACAGCUGCGCCCACACCUAUGAGACCUGGGAGGCCCAGCUCAAAUGGAUGGGUUUUGCCCACAGUUGGCUCCUCACUCCUCUGAUCUUCCCUCUACACAGCCCUGGGCCCCUGGCCUUGAAAAUUGCUGGGCGAAUUGCAGAAUUCUUCCCUGAUGCAGUACUUAUUAUGUUGGAUAAUCAGAAACUGGUGCCUCAGCCUCGUGUGCCCCCGGUCAUCGUCCUGGAGAACCAAGGU
rnacentral:sRNA from 1 species